rnacentral:misc_RNA from 1 species
GGUUACCGUAGGUGAACUUGCGGUAGGAUCAUUGUCAGUUUGGGGCCCCGAAUUGUGUAGGGGGGAGGCGAGCGAGGCCAUUAGGCUGAACUCGUCUCCUAUCCCAGCUCUCACUCUUGAUGGCGUGUGGGUGAUUGGACACUGCAGAGCGGCUCCGCAGGUAGUCCAUAUCACCAUCGGCCCAAGGCGAUUGAAGGCCGUGGUCGAGCGCAUCUCCUUCGGUGUGGCGAGUUGUCGUGUCUGAUUUUGAUUGUGAUGGGUGCAUCUCGGUGACAUCUGUCACCGAGGGGUCUUGCCCCAUUGCGUCAGAAGAGGUUCGACCCUCACCCACGGAGGCAGGGCACCUCAGCUACAAGCAUGACUGUUAAGACCAGGGAUCUGUUAGCUUUACAGUGGCAAGUCAGGUUGAUCGUAAUCCCCCCUGUUGCGUUGCUCGGGGGGCUACACUAUUUGGAGUGCUCCUCGCCGUGGACGGGUGCACUCGCAUAAAUCACAAGGCAGGACCCCCUGUCUAGCUGCGUAGUUCUCUCGAGGCAGCCUCUACCUCCACAACGCGGUGGGGCAGGGACACGACAUUCCCUGGUGCCCCUCUCAACAGGCCUCACCCUCUCAAGUUGGGGGAAUUGGGGGAUGGAUCGUGUCAAACCCUACACGCAUCGGUACAACCCACACCAAUUAAAAAUGCCAACACUUAAGUGUGGUCAAGAUGCCUUUCACGUCUCAGCCGCCGGUAAACAACGAAAACAACACGAGUCUUGGCAACGGAUAUCUCAGCUCCCACCAUGGUGAAGAAUGUAGCGAAAUGCGAUCCUUAGUGUGAAUUGCAGAAUCCUGUGAAUCAUCGAGUCUUUGAAUGCAUGUUGCACCCAAGGCCUUAGCCGAGGGCACGUCUACUUGGGUGUCGCACUCCAAAGUCAUCCUCCAGGAUAGAGGAGCAGAGAUGGUCAUCUGUGCCCGUUGGUGGUGCGGUUGGCUGAAAUGAGCACGAGGUCCGUCGCCCCAAUGCGACGAGCAGUGGCCCAUCCAGGUCGGCGUUGGUUUACGCGGGGCGGACGAGGCCGAGCAUGGAACUUUAGCCGGGACAUGGUGGCUUGCCAACGUACGGGCAUAUGCUGGGU